AUGUAUAUCCUGCUACCAGUCACUUUUCAGCCCUGUUUACAUGUAUAUCCUGCUACCAGUCACUUUUCAGCCCUGUUAACAUGUAUAUCCUGCUACCAGUCACUUUUCAGCCCUGUUUACAUGUAUAUCCUGCUACCAGUCACUUUUCAGCCCUGUUUACAUGUAUAUCCUGCUACCAGUCACUUUUCAGCCCUGUUUACAUGUAUAUCCUGCUACCAGUCACUUUUCAGCCCUGUUUACAUGUAUAUUCUGCUACCAGUCACUUUUCAGCCCUGUUUACAUGUAUAUCCUGCUACCAGUCACUUUUCAGCCCUGUUUACAUGUAUAUCCUGCUACCAGUCACUUUUCAACCCUGUUUACAUGUAUAUCCUGCUAGCAGUCACUUUUCAGCCCUGUUUACAUGUAUAUCCUGCUACCAGUCACUUUUCAGCCCUGUUAACAUGUAUAUCCUGCUACCAGUCACUUUUCAGCCCUGUUUACAUGUAUAUCCUGCUACCAGUCACUUUUCAGCCCUGUUUACAUGUAUAUCCUGCUACCGGUCACUUUCCAGCCCUGUUUACAUGUAUAUCCUGCUACCAGUCACAUUCAGCCCUGUUAACAUGUAUAUCCUGCUACCAGUCACUUUUCAGCCCUGUUAACAUGUAUAUCCUGCUACCAGUCACUUUUCAGCCCUGUUUACAUGUAUAUCCUGCUACCAGUCACUUUUCAGCCCUGUUUACAUGUAUAUCCUGCUACCAGUCACUUUUCAGCCCUGUUAACAUGUAUAUCCUGCUACCAGUCACUUUUCAGCCCUGUUUACAUGUAUAUCCUGCUACCAGUCACUUUUCAGCCCUGUUUACAUGUAUAUCCUGCUACAAGUCACUUUUCAGCCCUGUUUACAUGUAUAUCCUGCUGCCAGUCACUUUUCAACCCUGUUUACAUGUAUAUCCUGCUACCAGUCACUUUUCAGCCAUGUUUACAUGUAUAUCCUGCUACCAGUCACUUUUCAGCCCUGUUUACAUGUAUAUCCUGCUACCAGUCACUUUUCAGCCCUGUUUACAUGUAUAUCCUGCUAGCAGUCACUUUUCAGCCCUGUUUACAUGUAUAUCCUGCUACCAGUCACUUUUCAGCCAUGUUUACAUGUAUAUCCUGCUACCAGUCACUUUUCAACCAUGUUUACAUGUAUAUCCUGCUACCAGUCACUUUUCAGCCCUGUUUACAUGUAUAUCCUGCUACCAGUCACUUUUCAGCCCUGUUAACAUGUAUAUCCUGCUACCAGUCACUUUUCAGCCCUGUUUACAUGUAUAUCCUGCUACCAGUCACUUUUCAACCCUGUUUACAUGUAUAUCCUGCUACCAGUCACUUUUCAGCCAUGUUUACAUGUAUAUCCUGCUACCAGUCACUUUUCAGCCCUGUUUACAUGUAUAUCCUGCUACCAGUCACUUUUCAGCCCUGUUUACAUGUAUAUCCUGCUAG
rnacentral:lncRNA from 1 species